rnacentral:lncRNA from 1 species
GUCCAAUAGCUCGUUUCGACCGGGUCAGCUAUUCUGGAACUAAUGACGCUGACGGAUUUUGAGUUUGACGCACGGAUUUCGAGAAAAUUCAAAAAUACAUGUUUUAUAUGUAUUUUUGUGUGUGUUUCCUUCUAUUCGAAGAAGGUUGGAUUUUGUCGUGAAUCCGUGGUCGAUCAAGACGAAACGAAAUCGCAGCUUUGUUGUCUCCGAGGUGCUGAUCGCACCGGUGCAAUCCGUUCGCAAAUCUGACGGACGGAUCUGCGGAGAUCGCGCGUUGAUCGAGGAGAGGUCGGUAGUGGCAAAACGGUAUUUUCGCGAAAGUCGCGAUAUUUUAUGUACCGUUUUGCGUGAGAUCGCACGUGGAGGGUCGUUCACGCGUUUUAGUCGUUCGGUGAAGGGCUCGGAUUGAAAUUCCGGUGUUUGGUGGA